CGGGUGAGUAACGCGUAAACAACCUGCCCUUCGGAUGGGGACAACAGCUGGAAACGGCUGCUAAUACCGAAUACGUUCUUUUCAUCGCAUUGUGAGAAGAAGAAAGGACGGCCUCUACACAAAGCGGUCGCCGAAGGAGGGGUUUGCGUCUGAUUAGCUAGUUGGAGGGGUAACGGCCCAACAAGGCGACGAUCAGUAGCCGGUCUGAGAGGAUGAACGGCCACAUUGGGACUGAGACACGGCCCAGACUCCUACGGGAGGCAGCAGCU
rnacentral:rRNA from 1 species